ACGAACGCUGGCGGCAGGCCUAACACAUGCAAGUCGAACGCCCCGCAAGGGGAGUGGCAGACGGGUGAGUAACACGUGGGAACGUACCCUUUGGUUCGGAACAACUCAGGGAAACUUGAGCUAAUACCGGAUAAGUGCGAGAGCAGAAAGAUUUAUCGCCGAAGGAUCGGCCCGCGUCUGAUUAGCUAGUUGGUGAGGUAACGGCUCACCAAGGCGACGAUCAGUAGCUGGUCUGAGAGGAUGAUCAGCCACACUGGGACUGAGACACGGCCCAGACUCCUACGGGAGGCAGCAGUGGGGAAUAUUGGACAAUGGGCGAAAGCCUGAUCCAGCCAUGCCGCGUGAGUGAUGACGGCCUUAGGGUUGUAAAGCUCUUUUACCCGGGAAGAUAAUGACGGUACCGGGAGAAUAAGCCCCGGCUAACUUCGU
rnacentral:rRNA from 1 species